UGGGGGCGAGUAGCAAACCUUCACGUGGUGCCCCUGUUAAUCCCUUGCGGGAAACCAAUUGCUA
rnacentral:ribozyme from 1 species